CCUACGGGAGGCAGCAGUGAGGAAUAUUGGUCAAUGGGCGCGAGCCUGAACCAGCCAAGUAGCGUGAAGGAUGACUGCCCUACGGGUUGUAAACUUCUUUUAUAAAGGAAUAAAGUGUGGCACGUGUGGACUUUUGUAUGUACUUUAUGAAUAAGGAUCGGCUAACUCCGUGCCAGCAGCCGCGGUAAUACGGGGGAUCCGAGCGUUGUCCGGAUUUCUUGGGUUAAAAGGGAGCGUAGAUGGGUUGUUAAGUCAGUUGUGAAAGUUUGGGGCCCAACCGUAAAAUGGCAAUUGAUACUGGCAGUCUUGAGUACAGUGGAGGUAGGCGGAAUUCGUGGUGUAGCGGUGAAAUGCU
rnacentral:rRNA from 1 species